rnacentral:rRNA from 1 species
AAUCUUGCGCAAUGGGCGAAAGCCUGACGCAGCAACGCCGCGUGAGUGAUGAAGGUUCUUGGAUCGUAAAGCUCUUUCGGCUGGGAAGAAACUCCCGGUGGCUAAUAUCCAUCGGGAUUGACGGUACCAGCAGAAGAAGCACCGGCUAACUCUGUGCCAGCAGCCGCGGUAAUACAGAGGGUGCAAGCGUUGUUCGGAAUUAUUGGGCGUAAAGCGAGUGUAGGCGGGAUCGUAUGUCGGGCGUGAAAGCCCUCGGCUCAACCGAGGAAGUGCGCACGAAACUGCGGUUCUUGAGUGUCGGAGAGGGUGACGGAAUUCCCGGUGUAGAGGUGAAAUUCGUAGAUAUCGGGAGGAACACCAGUGGCGAAGGCGGUCACCUGGACGAACACUGACGCUGAGACUCGAAAGCGUGGGUAGCAAACAG